UGGGGAAUAUUGCACAAUGGGCGCAAGCCUGAUGCAGCCAUGCCGCGUGUGUGAAGAAGGCCUUCGGGUUGUAAAGCACUUUCAGCGAGGAGGAAGGUGGUGAACUUAAUACGUUCAUCAAUUGACGUUACUCGCAGAAGAAGCACCGGCUAACUCCGUGCCAGCAGCCGCGGUAAUACGGAGGGUGCAAGUGUUAAUCGGAAUUACUGGGCGUAAAGCGCACGCAGGCGGUUUGUUAAGUCAGAUGUGAAAUCCCCGGGCUCAACCUGGGAACUGCAUUUGAAACUGGCAAGCUAGAGUCUCGUAGAGGGGGGUAGAAUUCCAGGUGUAGCGGUGAAAUGCGUAGAGAUCUGGAGGAAUACCGGUGGCGAAGGCGGCCCCCCUGGACGAAGACUGACGCUCAGGUGCGAAAGCGUGGGGAGCAAACAGGAUUAGAUACCCUGGUAGUCCACGCUGUAAACGAUGUCGAUUUGGAGGUUGUGCCCCUUGAGGCGUGGCUUCCGGAGCUAACGCGUUAAAUCGACCGCCU
rnacentral:rRNA from 1 species